rnacentral:rRNA from 1 species
GCUCGCAGCGGUUCUGACGUGCAAAUCGAUCGUCAAAUUUGGGUAUAGGGGCGAAAGACUAAUCGAACCGUCUAGUAGCUGGUUCCCUCCGAAGUUUCCCCCAGGAUAGCUGGAGCCCGGUGCAGUUUUAUCAGGUAAAGCGAAUGAUUAGAGGUCUUGGGGUUGAAACAACCUCAACCUAUUCUCAAACUUUAAAUGGGUAAGAAGCUCGGCUUGCUCGGUUGAAGUCGGGCGUUGGAAUGCCGGGGCUCCUAGUGGGGCAUUUUUGGUAAGCAGAACUGGCGAUGCGGGAUGAACCGAACGUCGGGUUAAGGUGCCCGAAUCGACGCUCAUCAAAUCCCAUAAAAGGUGUUGGUUGAUUUAUACAGCAGGACGGUGGCCAUGGAAGUCGGAAUCCGCUAAGGAGUGUGUAACAACUCACCUGCCGAAUCAACUAGCCCUGAAAAUGGAUGGCGCUGAAGCGUCGUACCCAUACCCGGCCGUCGGGGCGAGCGUUCUGCCCCGACUAGUACGAGGGCGCGGCGGUGGCCGUGCAUCCCGAGGCGCGAGCCUGGGCGAAGCCGCCGCCGGUGCAGAUCUUGGUGGUAGUAGCUAAUAUUCAUAUGAGGGGUUUGAAGACUGAAGUGGAGAAGGGUUCCAUGUAACCAUCUGUUGGACAUGUGUUAGUCAAUCCUAAGAGGUGGGAGAGGUCCCGCGGCGAUGGCGCGAUCGCUUCGGCGAGUGCGCCGCGACUCGAAAGGGAAUCAGGUUAACAUUCCCGAAACGGGAUGCGGAUGGGCCCUC